rnacentral:lncRNA from 1 species
UACAGUUAAGGAGACGAUCUCAGGCUAAAUUCAGUUCACCCCUGCAGUUAGUGAAUGUUGGCUAUUAUGAUUAUUGAGUUGCCUGGACCUCAAGGAGAUGCCACGUCUGAGCCACAGAGGACCACGGUUGGCUGAAGGACCGCAAAGCAGAAAGGCCGUCAGGCAGGAAAAGCAGGCUGGAUACAAGAACUGGAAGAAGGCCACGGUGUGGCAGGAGUGGUGACACGUGGACUGGGCUCCAGGCUGACAGCCCCCGCCUUUCUCCUGGAGUAAGCAGAGCUGCGAGUGGAUUUGCGUUUCUGAUGGCUUCCUCAGGCUACAGAGAGGAGAAUGGGUUAUGGAGGAAAAGCUUGAGGCCUUCGGCAGUGAUGUUUCUCUGAGGAGCCUGCCCGACGUCUGUGUCAUGUCUUCACACUCUGGCUGGUCGCUCUGGGACCUAUUUCCCGUCCCGUCUCGCGUGCUGGGGCACAGGGCUGCGGGACACAGACCUUCGUUGUCAGAGCGACUUCAGUCGACAGUGACCGAACGAACAGCCAGAUUCCAGUCUGCACACCCGUCCUGCCCUGCACGAAGGCUGGCAGAGCCGGGCUGGCUCUCCCAGGGAGCUGAGCCAGGAGACGUCAGCCCACACCUGCGCCGUGGGGCUCUUCCCAACCCCAGGGGGUGGACGGCGGCCAAGACGCACAGCUGUUUCUGCCUCCAGACGCCUAGAAAGGAGCUCGCAUGCUCCCCUCGCAACUGGUAGACGUCAGCUCAGCGAUGGGCAGCCCAGUCUUCCUGCGCUGGAGGCUGCCCCCAGCCGAGAGUGUCGAACCAGCCUCCUCAUUCUCCUACGAUGGUAGCUCCUCAAUCUUUCUCUUGUGUUAUCAGGACCGUGUGCAUCAGUGUUUGGAUUCUAGACUCUGGGAAUGAAAGACCAUGGCACGUAUCAUCUGAGCUACCCUUUGCCCAGCGUUGACUUAAGAGGCUCGAUUUCCCAGCCAGCUCCAAGGACGUGUUCACGUGUCCUUCAUUCCUUCACUCAACAAGCACUCAUUGAACGCCAGGCGCAGUGUCAACAGUAACUAUACAGACGUGGCCCUGGCUUCACGGAGCCAACGGGACAUGGGGGACACACACAGUGGUAGCUUACACCUACACAGUGCCCACCAUGGGCUACUUUACAAAUGCCAAUCUACUUAAUUCUCACAACUUCUCCAUUUAAAAGAUGAGGAAUCUGAGGCUCUGAGAAGUUAAGUAAACUGCUCACGGUGGCCCAGCCUGGAAAGGGUAGAUCCAGGACUCAGACCCAGGCCGCCAGGCUGCAGAGCCCUUGCAUUUGAUUCCGACCUGAUUCUGAGCAAAGGUGACCAGCUAAUGCACAGAUAUAUGGAGGAUUCAGAGAACGAAAAGAAUAGAGGACCGUGGUGGGGAAAUAGUGUGGUCAGAUCCCACAUACGCGGGGUCACGUGUAAGCUGAGGAAAGAAAGCUGAGAAGGACCCAGCCAGGGGGCAACGGUUCAUACGGGCGUCUUGA